GAUUCAAUAGUGAAGCUUUCUGAUUUUUCCCCUUGAUUCUUGUUCUAUUUGCAUCGAUCUGGUAUCAGUUGAAGUCUGUAAUCGACAAUUGAAAUUUCAAUGGCCACUUACCUUCAUCGAUUGAAGUCAUNGGGCAUAUCGAGCGUACAUGGGUUGUUAAUCCCACUGUGUUGUUGUGUAGUCUGAGGAACACAACUAAGAGGAGGGUAGUUGAAGUCUGUAAUCGACAAUUGAAAUUUCAAUGGCCACUUACCUUCAUCGAUUGAAGUCAUUAAUUAUAAGUUGGGACAAUUGAUACAAAAUUUUCUAUCUAUGUGUCAAUUCUCCCUUUGGAAACAUGGGCGCUUUCUCUAUUUCAGUUAAGGAAAGUGAGAAUUCUUUCAAUUUAUCUUUAUCAGCAUUCUUGUUGCAGGUAAUCUUUCAGCCUCUUCAUUUCCUUUUACCCUUUUUUAUGAUGCUAAUACAUUUUGGCAUUGUGUAAGAUUGGGUAGGAUAGAGAAAGACAAUAAUUAUAUCACAAUUAUGGUGGAAUUGGGAAGUGGAUGAAACAUUGUAUCAAGGAUGGAAACAACUUAUUAAGGAUCUUAGUGCCAAACGUAUUAAAGUCAUGAUAUAUUGCAAUCCUUGUCUAGCUCCAGUAAGUAGUCAUUUUCUUUAUCAAAAAACACUUGUAAGGGCAUUCAUGUCUUUUGAAGAUUUUAAUUGAUAUAUAUUAGAUGGAUAGAAAUCCAGAUGCAAGGAGAAAGGUAUUUUAAGAGGCAAAGAAGUUGGACAUUUUAGUAACAGACAAGUUGGACAUUUUACCAUGAUUAUUGUAUUUUAAGGAAUUAUCAUAUAAAGAUUUUUAUUGCUAGCAUUUAGCUAUUUUGUUGGUCUUAAUGAAUGGGUUCCAUGUGGAUAUAAGUUUCUCCAGUAAUUUACAUAUGAAGGCUACAAUUUUCUCAAAACCUCAUUGAUUUUUUUGCAGGUCAUCGUUAUGGUAGAUAAUCUACGGUUCGGUUCAAGAGGAAGGGUAAAAAGGGAAAACAGUCCUUACCAAUGACCAAUAGGGGCAACAGAGGUAAUUUGGUGACUACUAUGAAACUCAAGGCAGGAAGGGUAAAAAGGGAAAACAGUCAUCGUUGGGUUUAAUGUUCAUCACUCUUGUUUGGUAGAUUUAUAAGUUUAUUGUCAUUAGUUGUAAUUAGUUGUAAGGAUUUGGUAACUUUCUAUAUGGUGCUGUCAUAUUUUUGGCAUUUUUUGUUCCGGUUUGUAAUAUGUACAUUCCCGACCAUUAGUUGGGUUUUUUUUAUUAUAAUAACAUUCUUAUUUCAAAUCUCAAAAAGAAUAUGUUGAUUAGUAGAAGCAGUCUACUGUUGCAUUAUACCUAUUAACAACAUUAUACUUGAAUCAAUUUUCUUUUUAACAAAAUAAUACUUUCAACAAUAGGAUUGUACUUUCAUUUUGUACACAUAAUAGCAUCGUACUUUCAGUUUUUACACAUAAUAUCCGCGUACUUUCAUUUUUUACACAUAAUACCCUCGUACUUCCCUUUUUUACACGUAAUAACAUCGUACUUUUAGUUUUUAUACAUAAUACCCCCUACUUUCAUUUUUUACACAUAAUUGCAUCGUAAUUUCAUUUUUUUACACGUAAUACCCCCAUACUUUUGUUUUCUGCACAUAUUAGCAUCGUACUUUCAUUUUUUACACAUAAUAGUAGUAACCAUUCAACAUUUUCAUUCCAGAACAGCAACGUACACGAUUUAUGUCCAAAACUGGAAAAAAGACAAGUACUUCAAACUAAAAAAAGGACGCUUAACCUAAGCUAGAAAAAUGAGUAGAAUUAACCAAAAUCAUAGCAACUAUAUAUCCCAUCAAUGUUUCUCUUGCAACGAUUCAUCUACCUGAUACAUGAAAAUAUAAAUAGAUUAUUAUAUAAAUAUAAGAACUGCAAAAUCAUGACAAAGUAAG
rnacentral:lncRNA from 1 species